rnacentral:lncRNA from 1 species
GCCACUUGAAGGAGGAGACACACAGGGAGAACGUCCUGAGGCUGAGACUGGAGUUCUGCAGCUGCAAGCCAAAGAACACCAAAGAUUGCUGCAGAAACCACUGGAAGCUAGAAAGAGGCAAGGGAGGAUUCAGAGGAGGCAUGGCCCUGCAAACACCUUGAUCUUCUGGCCUCCAGAACUGUGAGACCAUACAUUUCUGUUGUUUUAAGCCUCCAAGCUCAUCACACCUUGUUACCAUAGCCCUAGGAAACCAAUACACCUGCUUUCACAAGGUCCCAGCUACUGUACUUUUGGGGAUACUGCUGCUAAUCAUGUUGCAUUUUUGCAGGUCUAGGCAUAUAUUUCAGCCCCUUACCUCCAAAUCAAAGUUUACCAUAUUUUCCUGUUUCUGAAAUUUCCUACCUCAGGUAAUAACUGCACUGUCUGAACCAGGAUCCCAACAAAUGAGGCUGUGACACAUGAGAUGCCCAGAGGACAGCUGAAAUCAAAGCUGCCUUUA